UACAGAGGUCUCAAGCGUUGUUCGGAUUCAUUGGGCGUAAAGGGGCGCGUAGGCUGCGGGGCAAGUCGGGUGUGAAAUCUCAGAGCUCAACUCUGAAACUGCACUCGAUACUGCUUUGCUCGAGGACUGGAGAGGAGAUUGGAAUUCACGGUGUAGCAGUGAAAUGCGUAGAUAUCGUGAGGAAGACCAGUGGCGAAGGCGGAUCUCUGGACAGUUCCUGACGCUGAGGCGCGAAGGCCAGGGGGAGCAAAACGGG
rnacentral:rRNA from 1 species